CCAGCGCCAGGCCGGGCCGGCGCGUGCCGAAGCCGCGCCUCGGAACAGUGCUGUGGCCGCCAUCUUGAACACCAUAUUAGGGAUGAAACCGCCAGGCUUACGCAUGCUAGGGGCUUCCUCCCCUUUCUGGGGCAUCUUUGAACAUGGCCUCUCCACCCCAGCCCUCUGCAAACUCCAUGAGCAUCGGCCAGUUGGCUGAGGCCCUGGAAACGGAUGGAGCUGAGACAAGGCAUGUCCUGCCAUGGGGGGUGGGGGGUCUGGCUGAUAGGAGUCAGGCAGAUUCAGAUCCUGUGUGCUGGUCUCUCCCCGUCCCCUUCGCCAUCAGUCCAAAGUCUGGCGUUUCCCAAAAAAGGAGCCAUUCUGACUCUGCACAGCCCAGGGCCAUGAGCGCCCAGAUAUCUGAGCAAACCUUGGUCUGUAGCUCAUAGUGAUGUACUGUGGACUCCAUAAAGUGCUAAAAGGGAGUCACUCCAAGCUCCCAGUGCUAAGAAUGCGUAAGGAGGAGAUGGGAUGCCUAGUUUACUGCCACUGUAGACACCUCCCCAGUCAUCACACUGUACCAUACGAACACCUAUAAUUGUAUGUCACUUAAAAAAAAAAUUGGGGGGCCAGGGAUUUAGCUCAGUGGUUCCGCCACCUGCUUCGCAAGCGCAA